UGGGGAAUAUUGCACAAUGGGCGCAAGCCUGAUGCAGCAACGCCGCGUGAACGAUGAAGGUCUUCGGAUCGUAAAGUUCUGUUGCAGGGGAAGAUAAUGACGGUACCUUGUGAGGAAGCCCCGGCUAACUACGUGCCAGCAGCCGCGGUAAUACGUAGGGGGCUAGCGUUAUCCGGAUUUACUGGGCGUAAAGGGUGCGUAGGUGGUCUUUCAAGUCGGUGGUUAAAGGCUACGGCUCAACCGUAGUUAGCCUCCGAAACUGGAAGACUUGAGUGCAGGAGAGGAAAGUGGAAUUCCCAGUGUAGCGGUGAAAUGCGUAGAUAUUGGGAGGAACACCGGUGGCGAAAGCGGCUCUCUGGUCUGUAACUGACGCUGAGGCUCGAAAGCGUGGGGAGCGAACAGG
rnacentral:rRNA from 1 species